rnacentral:rRNA from 1 species
UACGUAGGGGGCUAGCGUUGCUCGGAAUCACUGGGCGUAAAGCGCACGUAGGCGGAUUGCUAAGUCAGGGGUGAAAUCCUGGAGCUCAACUCCAGAACUGCCUUUGAUACUGAGAAGCUUGAGUCCGGGAGAGGUGAGUGGAACUGCGAGUGUAGAGGUGAAAUUCGUAGAUAUUCGCAAGAACACCAGUGGCGAAGGCGGCUCACUGGCCCGGUACUGACGCUGAGGUGCGAAAGCGUGGGGAGCAAACAGG